UGGGGAAUUUUCCACAAUGGGCGAAAGCCUGAUGGAGCAACGCCGCGUGUGUGAUGAAGGUUUUCGGAUCGUAAAGCACUUUCGACCGGGACGAAAAACCUCUGGCUAACAUCCAGGGGCCUGACGGUACCGGGAGAAGAAGCACCGGCUAACUCUGUGCCAGCAGCCGCGGUAAUACAGAGGGUGCAAGCGUUGUUCGGAAUUAUUGCGCGUAAAGCGCGUGUAGGCGGCUUGGCAAGUCAGAUGUGAAAGCCCUCGGCUUAACCGGGGAAGUGCGUCUGAAACUGCUGAGCUGGGGUGUCGGGGAGGAUGGCGGAAUUCCGCAAGUGGAGGUGAAAUUCGUAGAUAUGCGGAGGAACACCGGUGGCGAAGGCGGCCAUCUGGACGACUACUGACGCGGAGACGCGAAAGGGUGGGGAGCAAACAGG
rnacentral:rRNA from 1 species